CGGACGGAUUGCUCGCCAACCCGGUCAGGUCCGGAAGGAAGCAGCCGUAACGAGAUUUCUCCGGGUCG
rnacentral:SRP_RNA from 1 species